rnacentral:rRNA from 1 species
AUGCAGAAAGAGAAGAGGAAGAGGGACCAUGAAGCCAGUCGCGACUCAUUGGUUUCAAGGGCUACGCCUCGCGAAACACGCAUUAUAGAGCGAGAGAAGAGGAAGAGGGAUCAAGAAUUCAGUCGUGUCUCAUUGGUUUCAAGUGCUACUCCUCGCGAAAUACGCAUUAUAGAGCGGGAGAAGAGGAAGAGGAACCAAGAACCCAGUCGUGGCUCAUUGGUUUCAAGUGCUACUCCUCGCGGAACACACAUUAUAGAGCGAAAGAAGAGGAAGAGGGUCCAAGAAGCGACUCGUGGCCCAUUGCUUUCAACUGUUACUCCUGACGGGGAACCAUUAUUUCAGCUGCCGACAGAGAAGAGCAAGAUUGACUAUUUGAUUUCUACUGUUACUCCUCGCCAAAGACGCAAUAUAGAACGAAUGGUGCAACUCAACAAGACCAUGGACAAGUGCAAUGAAGAUUAUUUGGAUCGAUUUGGAUGUCCUGAUCCACCUGUUCCGAGCCGGAGUUUUGUAGAGAAGCCAUUUGGUUAUACAGAUGCAGUUUCUGAUGAUUCAUUGACUUCCAAGGUUGUCUCGCUUGCUUUAUAUGAUGGAGAUAAGAUGUUAUUUGCAUGCUCGGGCGUAGCUUUACAACACAAGGGAACGGAGUUUCCAGUAGUAUCAAGAUUUGUGACUUCAAAACGUUUGGUUACAGAAUUUGAAAAGAACAGAAACAGAGCUGAUAAUUUGAGGGUUAAUGUGCGCCUUCCCAACAAAGCAAGUUUCGAUGGGUUCUUGGGGCUGUAUGAUAGUCAUAUUGCGAUUGUCACGUCCUUCCGCUUCGGAAAAGUACUUCCUGUAGAUCUGCACUCUCAUAUAGACUGGCAGCAUGAUCUAGUAGCUGUUGGGCGAGCCUUUAGCUCGGGCCUAUUGAUAUCCUGUCACAGCAGCAAGCUACAGAUGCUCUGA